UACGGAGGAUGCAAGCGUUAUCCGGAAUGAUUGGGCGUAAAGGGUCCUGAGGUGGCUGGCUUAGUCUACUGUGAAAGAUCAGGGCUUAACCCUGAACAGGCGGUGGAAACUAGCAAGCUAGAGUACGGUAGGGGCGGAGGGAAUUCUCGGUGGAGCGGUGAAAUGCGUAGAUAUCGGGAGGAACACCUGUGGCGAAAGCGGCUCACUGGACCACAACUGACGCUGAUGCACGAAAGCUAGGGGAGCAAACAGG
rnacentral:rRNA from 1 species